GGGAAGAAAUUCCUAUUGAGGAAUUAACUUGUAAGACACCGGUCCCCCUGGAUGAUUUGUCUAAAAUUAAUCGCGCGGUCGAGAAUCUGAGUGAGUGGAUUUUAUAAAUAUAUACGUAACGUUCUUUUCUUCAACUGAGAAAUAUCUCAUUUUACAGAAAAGGAGGGGGUUCAACCUUACCCCGGAAGUGAUAACUUUUACCCAACCACGCCUCCAUCCACCAGCCGAACCGUCUUACAUUCGUAUCAGCCCAGCCAUACCGUCAGAUCACACGGGAAUGCGAGCGUGAAAGCUGUUCGUUACAGGACCAUCACGCCGCAGACGAUUCUCGAAGCUGAGCAACGUCCGACGGCCUACGCACCCCCAAUAUCUCAGCCCCCACCACCUCCAACCCCUUCUCAUGCGCGGUCGGAUGAACAACAUCAGACAGCCGCUUCAAUAUCUCCGCCCACACCUCCUCCACCUCCUCCUCCUCCUCCUCCCCCA